ensembl:ncRNA T27B7.9 ncRNA
CUCGUAGUGCACGCCAAAUUUCCUUGUUGCUCUUGUGGUCCCUUCAGGAUUUUUGUCGUUUUUAUUUUUCACUGUCAGUUUUUUUAACUAAUGAAAAAUUUUUUUUUAAAAUCAGCCUCAAAAGGGGAGUUUUGACAGUUUAUGAAAGUUUUGUGGUUGAUAAAAAAAGGCAGGCAUCUAGUAAUCUUGUAGGCACGUAGGUACACAGGAAGGCAUUAUUUUUGGCAUGAAUUAAUGAGAAAGGCAUGAUGUAGGUACGUAGGUAGGCAUAACGGCAAAGUUCCGACACAUAAGCAAUCGUCAGCGAGGCACUCUGUAGGCACGUCGGAAGGCUGGAAAGCAGAAAGAGUCCACUUAGACAACACUGGGGGUUAACAGGCUGGGAGGAGAACAACGAGCGCGUACGAUCCGAUAAUGUCCACGUCGUAGUUUUCACUGAAAACAAUCAGAGUUUGAGCUUGGACGAUAAUGCCUGCUUUGGAUUGCAAAAUGAUCUAGGAAAAACUACUCACUGGUCGCCGACGUUUGAUGGUGAAAAUUGCGAUUCAAUAAAAAAAUUGCCAACAAGAAAAAGAAGGCUUCAACAAAUCAGGAAUCCGUGGCCCUAUUGAUUGUGAUAACUUCUUUCGCUUUUGCUGCAAUAUACACGGUUAUAAAUUGUUUGUCAU